CCCGAGUGCUUAAAGCCUCAUCACACGCCUUAACCGUCAGUGUGCCGUACAAGCGCUAACCAGAUCUGACAGUCACCCUGUGAGGUGUGCUGUACCGGAGGGGAGGAUGGUGAACCAAAGGGUUUCUGAUUAUGGGCCCAGGACUGAAAAGGUUGGAGAAUGCUGCUUUCUAAGAGGAUUUGUGGGCAUCAAGGAGGAUAAUAAAAUUGACAGCUGAGAACGAAGCAGAGGGAUAAUAAAAUAGACAGUUUGGAUCAAACCAAAA